rnacentral:rRNA from 1 species
GACGUAGGUGGCGAACGUUAUCCGGAAUUAUUGGGCGUAAAGGGUGCGUAGAUGGUAUAAUAAGUUAUUAGUGGUAAAUCGAGGCUCAACCUCGUGGAAGUUAGUAAUACUGUUAUGCUAGAGUGCAGGAGAGGUAAGUGGAAUUCCUAGUGUAGCGGUGAAAUGCGUAGAUAUCACUCGGAAGGCCAACGGCGAAAGCAGGUCACUGGUGCGCAACUGACGCUGAGGCACGAAAGCGUGGGGAGCAAACAGG